CGUAUCUGUAGCAAAGAUAUUCCGUCCAGCGGAAAAUGGCGUUGUGAUGCGGAAUGAAAACUUAGGGAGAACACAUGUGAUGGCUUUACAGUCAAGGUAACGUUUAAUAGUUGUCAUUGGUGUGAGUGUGGUGCAUAAUCUCUUUGCAGGGCAUGGUCUGUAUGUUAGAAGAGAGAAAUGCAAUAUGCACUGUACGAGAUGUGACAACUUUAGCUUCUCAGGGUUCGCAGCACAAGAUCACUCUUUUACUUCCGGCCUCAACUACAGUACAAGAACUUUUCCAAAAAUUAGCAGAUGCAUACCAGUAUGAUCCGAAUACAUUUGAACUUGUCCUUCAACGCUCAUCUGAACCUGUA